rnacentral:rRNA from 1 species
AUUGAACGCUGGCGGCAUGCCUUACACAUGCAAGUCGAACGGCAGCACGGGUGCUUGCCCCUGGUGGCGAGUGGCGAACGGGUGAGUAAUACAUCGGAACAUGUCCUGUAGUGGGGGAUAGCCCGGCGAAAGCCGGAUUAAUACCGCAUACGAUCUACGGAUGAAAGCGGGGGACCUUCGGGCCUCGCGCUAUAGGGUUGGCCGAUGGCUGAUUAGCUAGUUGGUGGGGUAAAGGCCUACCAAGGCGACGAUCAGUAGCUGGUCUGAGAGGACGACCAGCCACACUGGGACUGAGACGCGGCCCAGACUCCUACGGGAGGCAGCAGUGGGGAAUUUUGGACAAUGGGCGAAAGCCUGAUCCAGCAAUGCCGCGUGUGUGAAGAAGGCCUUCGGGUUGUAAAGCACUUUUGUCCGGAAAGAAAUCCUUGGCCCUAAUACGGUCGGGGGAUGACGGUACCGGAAGAAUAAGCACCGGCUAACUACGUG